UACGGGGGGGGUCAGCGUUGUUCGGAAUUACUGGGCGUAAAGGGCUCGUAGGCGGCCAACUAAGUCGGACGUGAAAUCCCUCAGCUUAACUGGGGAACUGCGUCCGAUACUGGAUGGCUUGGAUUUGGGAGAGGGAUGCGGAAUUCCAGGUGUAGCGGUGAAAUGCGUAGAUAUCUGGGGGAACACCGGUGGCGAAGGCGGCAUCCUGGACCAAUAUUGACGCUGAGGAGCGAAAGCUAGGGGAGCAAACGGG
rnacentral:rRNA from 1 species